AUUGGGGAAUUUUCCGCAAUGGGCGAAAGCCUGACGGAGCAAUACCGCGUGAGGGAGGAAGGCUCUUGGGUUGUAAACCUCUUUUCUCAGGGAAUAACACUGAAGGUACCUGAGGAAUAAGCCACGGCUAAUUCCGUGCCAGCAGCCGCGGUAAUACGGGAGUGGCAAGCGUUAUCCGGAAUUAUUGGGCGUAAAGCGUCCGCAGGCGGCCUUGUAAGUCUGUCGUUAAAGCGUGGAGCUUAACUCCAUUUCAGCGAUGGAAACUACAAGGCUUGAGUGUGGUAGGGGCAGAGGGAAUUCCCGGUGUAGCGGUGAGAUGCGUAGAUAUCGGGAAGAACACCAGUGGCGAAGGCGCUCUGCUGGGCCAUAACUGACGCUCAUGGACGAAAGCCAGGGGAGCGAAAGGGAUUAGAUACCCCUGUAGUCAAU
rnacentral:rRNA from 1 species